rnacentral:tRNA from 1 species
ACCCUGGUGGCUCAGAUGGUAAAGCGUCUGCCUGCAGUGCAGGAGACCUGGGUUCAAUCCCUGGGUGGGGAA